UACGGGGGGGGCAAGCGUUGUUCGGAAUUACUGGGCGUAAAGGGCUCGUAGGCGGCCAACUAAGUCGGACGUGAAAUCCCCAGGCUCAACCUGGGAACUGCGUCCGAUACUGGAUGGCUUGAAUUCGGGAGAGGGAUGCAGAAUUCCAGGUGUAGCGGUGAAAUGCGUAGAUAUCAUGAGGAAGACCAGUGGCGAAGGCGGGUCUCUGGACAGUUCCUGACACUGAGGCACGAAGGCCAGGGGAGCAAACGGG
rnacentral:rRNA from 1 species